UACGGAGGAGGCAAGCGUUAUCCGGAAUUAUUGGGCGUAAAGCGUCCGCAGGUGGCACCUCAAGUCUGCUGUCAAAGACCGGGGCUUAACCCCAGAAAGGCAGUGGAAACUGAAGUGCUAGAGUGCAGUAGGGGUAGAGGGAAUUCCCGGUGUAGCGGUGAAAUGCGUAGAUAUGUGGAGGAACACCGAUGGCGAAGGCAGUCCCCUGGGAUGUGACUGACGCUCAUGUACGAAAGCGUGGGGAGCAAACAGG
rnacentral:rRNA from 1 species